rnacentral:rRNA from 1 species
UUCGGGUGCGUUAAUGGGCGUCGAGCGGCGGACGGGUGAGUAAUGCCUAGGAAAUUGCCUUGAUGUGGGGGAUAACCAUUGGAAACGAUGGCUAAUACCGCAUAAUGCCUACGGGCCAAAGAGGGGGACCUUCGGGCCUCUCGCGUCAAGAUAUGCCUAGGUGGGAUUAGCUAGUUGGUGAGGUAAUGGCUCACCAAGGCGACGAUCCCUAGCUGGUCUGAGAGGAUGAUCAGCCACACUGGAACUGAGACACGGUCCAGACUCCUACGGGAGGCAGCAGUGGGGAAUAUUGCACAAUGGGCGAAAGCCUGAUGCAGCCAUGCCGCGUGUAUGAAGAAGGCCUUCGGGUUGUAAAGUACUUUCAGUUGUGAGGAAGGG